rnacentral:piRNA from 1 species
UAAGGUGAAAGAGGGGAGAGCCCUUAAUUGA